UGGGGAAUUUUGGACAAUGGGGGAAACCCUGAUCCAGCCAUCCCGCGUGUGCGAUGAAGGCCUUCGGGUUGUAAAGCACUUUUGGCAGGAAAGAAACGUCAUGGGUUAAUACCCCGUGAAACUGACGGUACCUGCAGAAUAAGCACCGGCUAACUACGUGCCAGCAGCCGCGGUAACACGUAGGGUGCAAGCGUUAAUCGGAAUUACUGGGCGUAAAGCGUGCGCAGGCGGUUCGGAAAGAAAGAUGUGAAAUCCCAGAGCUCAACUUUGGAACUGCAUUUUUAACUACCGGGCUAGAGUGUGUCAGAGGGAGGUGGAAUUCCGCGUGUAGCAGUGAAAUGCGUAGAUAUGCGGAGGAACACCGAUGGCGAAGGCAGCCUCCUGGGAUAACACUGACGCUCAUGCACGAAAGCGUGGGGAGCAAACAGG
rnacentral:rRNA from 1 species